GACACGCUGGCGGCGUGCCUAACACAUGCAAGUCGAGCGGAGUCGAUCGACGGAAGCCUUCGGGCGGAAGAUGGUUGACUUAGCGGCGGAUGGGUGAGUAACGCGUGGGCAACCUGCCUCGAAGACCGGGAUAACAGCCCGAAAGGGCUGCUAAUACCGGAUGUGGUCAAGGAUCCGCAUGGAUUUUUGAUUAAAGGGGAAACCCGUUUCGAGAUGGGCCCGCGUCCUAUCAGCUAGUUGGUGAGGUAAAAGCUCACCAAGGCGACGACGGGUAGCCGGCCUGAGAGGGUGACCGGCCACACUGGAACUGAGACACGGUCCAGACUCCUACGGGAGGCAGCAGUUGGGAAUCUUAGGCAAUGGACGAAAGUCUGACCUAGCGACGCCGCGUGAGGGAAGAAGGCCUUCGGGUUGUAAACCUCUGUCAUGGGGGAAGAAGUAAGUGACGGUACCCCAAGAGGAAGCCCCUGCUAACUACGUG
rnacentral:rRNA from 1 species